ACUCGUGAUUCGUGCAAAAAAGAGAAAAAAAGAGAGAGAGAAAAAACUUCCCCGUCUUCGCAUUCUGCUCCCCAAUCCUCAAUCCAGAUGAGCGAGGAGGGCGGCGGAACGACGCACCGCCGCGGCAGCUCGCCGCCGGCGGCGCCUGCCUCCCUGCCGGACGACGACGAUCUCCUCCGAGAAAUCCUCCUCCGCCUCCCGCCGCAGCCGUCCUCCCUGCCGCGCGCCUCCGCCGUCUGCAAGCGGUGGCGAGCCGUCGCCACCGACCCCAAGUUCCUCCAAUGCUUCCGAACCCACCACCGGAAGCCGCCCCUCCUCGGCUACCGCGUUCGGCGACAAGGAGGGGAUCGUGUUCAGGCCCACCCUGGACCCUCCCGACCGCAUCCCUCCUGAACGCUUCUCCCUUCGCGGCUGCAGCCGCCGCCGCGAGAACUAUGUGCUCGGGUGUCGCCGCGUCCUCGUCAAUUGACCGGCGCAGAAUGAGGUCGCUGUGUGCGAUCCCAUCUCCGGCGAGCAGCGCCGCGUGGCCGUUCCACCGGAGUUCAGGAUUGGCUUUCUCAACGGGGCUGUGCUCUGUGCCGCCGGCGACCAGGGUCAUGUGCACGGGGGCUGUCACUCGUGCCCCUUUAAGGUGGUCCUGCUGUCCAUGCCCGAAGAAGGCAAUCGACCCCUCGCCUGCGUUUACUCUUCGGAGACUGGCAUAUGGGGUGAUCUCAUCUCAACAGCUGCACCAUGUGAGCUUGAUGAUUCUAGCUGUCCUAGUACCCUUGUUGGCAAUGCCCUUUAUUGGCUGGAUGAGAGCAAUGGUAUGCUUGAGUUUGAUUUGGAUGGACAGGGCCUAUCUAUGAUCACGGGGCCAGCCCCCAUUACAGAUGAUUUCUGCCAUGAAAACAUUCAGAUAAUCCAGGCUGAGGAUGGCGUUGUUGGCUUGGCCGUAUUUUCUUACCCUAGCAUCCAAAUUUGGCACAGGAAGGUCAAUUGAGAGUGGUGUUGCCACAUGGUUGGUGCGCAAGACUGUCGACAUGCAUAAUAUUCUUGGGCUUCCUCCUCAGCUUGAUGAAUGGGAGACUGGGCUGGAAGCUAUACUGGGAUAUGCUGAGGAUACCGAUGACAUUCUUAUAUAUGUUCGCUCCAAUGUCUACAUGGUUCAGCUUAAGUCAAUGCAAAGCAAGAGACUUCAUGAAACCCAUCAUUUCAUGGACUACCAUCCUUUUAAAAGUUUUUAUACACCAGACCCUCCACCAAAGUAAUGAGUACCGGCAUGGGUGAGUGAGAGAUUGGCGUUGGACGUGAUUGACACAAGGGAGGAAAAGGGACCCCGGGGAGCACGCAAUGCGGCGCAUGGAGUCCGCGUCGAGCGGGGUGGAGAAGACGACGAUGGCCACCAGGACGUCGGAUGCCGUCUGGGCGUGGCGAGAGAGACUGCAGCAGGCCGAGGAGAGCGCGCGAGCGGCGUCGGCCCGCGCGAGGCAGCGACUGUCGCAGUCGCUGUCCCUGGCGAGCGCCAUGGCCCUGGCCACGAGCUCCCGGCAUGCGGCGCCGCCGUCUUCCCGCCGCGGAGGCGUCCAGGGCGGAGAUGGGCACGCAGGGCGUGGGCGUGCGCUCGUCCUCGCGGCCGCUGGCGACGCACAAGCCCUAGAUGAGCCGCCGUGUGGCGUCGUUGGGGACGAGGUCCUCGAGCCGCAGCGGCCGACCGGUGACAGGGCACGUGGAGCGGCCGCGAUUCAGCCAGGCCUAGUGGCUCUCCCGGUCAUACGUGAUCCCCGUCGGCGCCGCCAGGGGUUCCUCAUCAUCUCCAGCGAGCUCGAGCACAGCAACUGCGCCGGCACCUCCUGCCCGCAAGGUGUUCGACUGACGGUCCCGGCGGCUGGGCAUGCGCAUGUGGCCGGCGCUCAUGUGCGCUGUGUUCACGAAGCAGCUGCGGCUGUCCAGUAAGUCCCAGCGCGGCAUUCCGUGGGCGAGAUCGCCAACUACAUCGCUCGGCAAGCUCCCCUUCUGGCUGCACCUGGCGUGGAGCAUGCCGGUCCAGCUCACCCUCGCCAUCGCGCUCCCAGGGCUCGCCCCAUGGCCGCUUGCAGGCUAACGGGUCGGGUUCGACAGAGCUGACGUGUCUCCUGACAUGCGGGCCCACUGGUCAGGGUUUGGGCAAAACCACCUAAACAAGCGGUUUUCGGGUUAAGUGAGAAGGAUUGACGCAAAAAGUGUGGUUCUGCGGACGGUUUUGCGUUAAGUGUGGCUCCGUGAUAGAGCUGCCCCAAAAAGUGUGGUUUUAUGAAAUUUACUCAUUUUUUAACAACAACUUUGGCUGAAUCGCCAGAAGGGGAGCUUGCCGAGCGAUGUUUUCUUUGUCACUUUUUGAAGACCCUCCACCAAGUGAUUAGUUCAUCUGUAGCACACCUAAUAAAUUGCAUUUCUUGUCUCUAAUGGAGCUCCAUUUAUUUGAAACUGAAUGCCAAAGAUUACUUUUGUUGCUAGAGUUUGUUAUUUUCAGCAUGUUUUAAUUUUGUCUGCCUGGCAUGGCAUGUGACGAAUUUACAUGAGAAAAAAUAAAUCUAAACAUUGUUUUUUCUUGUCCACUAAAACCUUCAUUAUGACUUAUGAGGUAGCUAAGUAUAUUGUUUUCAGGAUUACAUUCUUUGCAUUUUACAAGAGACGUGGUUUUGGUUAUCGAUUGCUAGUUUAAAAGUGUUAUAAAGCAUCUACAAAAGUGAGCUAUAAAAUAUUUAUUGACAGUGAGUUGUUUUCUCAAGUUAUAUUUGUCGGUAACUGACCCACCGCAUCUUUUCUAUUAUCCAUUUGUGUUUUCCUUGGAACAUCCAUUUAACUGCUUGACUUUUUAUGCUUCUAGGCAUAGCCAAUGCUGGUGGAUGUGAUGGAUCUGAAAUGUUGGAUCAUGUAUAAGAAGGCUGUCUGGUUUGAUGUGCUGACAUCGUUUGACUGGUGAGGAAAAGCUGCAGGAGUUCUAUUUGAGUUUGUCACAUUGCAUCAAUGUGAUCGGCAUUCAGCAGUGUUUAUAUAUUAUCUGGAAAAGAAGACUUGCUAAGUGUGUACCUUAGUCUAGCUAAGUUUCUUAUGUGCCAGGAUGUACUUGGAUAGCUAAACCAGGAGUUCCGAAUUCCCCUAGUAAUGUUUCAAGUUGAUUUCCGCAGUACUUCAAUUGUUGUUCUGCUUCUGUUUAUCCUUUGGUUUAUGCUGAAACUCACGAAUGUGUUGCAAAUGGUAACUACCUGUCGGUAUGUCAAUAUCCGAAUAUCAUUUCCAUGUAUCUAUAUUACCAUGCAAAUACAUAUAUGGUCCAUGUGUCAUAGACACUUUUUUCCCCA